AAAUGCCAGAUCAGUAGGGUUGGGCAUCGAGAACACAUUCCUAUUUGGAAUCGUUUCAAAAUUUACGAUUCCAGUAGAGUCGUUUCUUUAUUGGAAUCGUUUGGAGGAUUUUGGUUUCAAAUCCGAUCAUCGUUUCCCAAUUUAAAAUGCGCAAGUUUUGGUUUACGUAAGCAGCCAGGCGGUCGUUGUGUUGCAGCCAUGGAGCGCAGUAAGCGGCGCUCUAGUGUGGCUUUAUUUUAAAUUGAAAAAGCCCGGUAAAACUGCAACCCACCAUUGAAU